rnacentral:rRNA from 1 species
GUUUGAUCCUGGCUCAGAGCGAACGCUGGCGGCGUGGAUUAGGCAUGCAUGUCGAGCGAGAAACGGGGGCAACUCCGGAGUAAAGCGGCGCACGGGUGAGGAAUGCGUAGAUAACUUGCCUCCAAGACUGGGAUAACGGCGGGAAACUGCCGCUAAUACCGGAUGGCCUCGGAGCCCGGCAUCGGGUGCCGAGUAAAGGUGGGGACCGUAAGGCCUGCUGCUUGGAGAGAGGUUUACGCCCUAUCAGCUAGUUGGUGAGGUAACGGCUCACCAAGGCUAUGACGGGUAGGCGAGCUGAGAGGCUGACCGCCCACAUUGGGACUGAGAACUGCCCAGACUCCUACGGGAGGCUGCAGUCGAGAAUCUUCCGCAAUGGACGCAAGUCUGACGGAGCGACGCCGCGUGCGGGAUGAAGGUCUUCGGAUUGUAAACCGCUGUCACGCGUUAUGAAUGCGCAAGGGCCAACACCCCUUGCGUUGACCAAGGCGCGGGAGGAAGACACGGCUAACUCUGUCG